CACUCCUUCGGGAGGCAGCAGUGGGGAAUAUUGGACAAUGGGCGCAAGCCUGAUCCAGCCAUGCCGCGUGAGUGAUGAAGGCCCUAGGGUUGUAAAGCUCUUUCACCGGUGAAGAUAAUGACGGUAACCGGAGAAGAAGCCCCGGCUAACUUCGUGCCAGCAGCCGCGGUAAUACGAAGGGGGCUAGCGUUGUUCGGAUUUACUGGGCGUAAAGCGCACGUAGGCGGACUAUUAAGUCAGGGGUGAAAUCCCGGGGCUCAACCCCGGAACUGCCUUUGAUACUGGUAGUCUUGAGUUCGAGAGAGGUGAGUGGAAUUCCGAGUGUAGAGGUGAAAUUCGUAGAUAUUCGGAGGAACACCAGUGGCGAAGGCGGCUCACUGGCUCGAUACUGACGCUGAGGUGCGAAAGCGUGGGGAGCAAACAGGAUUAGAAACCCGAGUAGUCCCAUG
rnacentral:rRNA from 1 species